rnacentral:rRNA from 1 species
UGCGGAGGGAGCUAGCGUUGUUCGGAAUUACUGGGCGUAAAGCGCGCGUAGGCGGCUUUGUAAGUUAGAGGUGAAAGCCCGGGGCUCAACCCCGGAACUGCCUUUAAAACUGCACCGCUUGAAUCCGGGAGAGGUGAGUGGAAUUCCGAGUGUAGAGGUGAAAUUCGUAGAUAUUCGCAAGAACACCAGUGGCGAAGGCGGCUCACUGGCCCGGUACUGACGCUGAGGUGCGAAAGCGUGGGGAGCAAACAGG